UACGUAGGGUCCGAGCGUUGUCCGGAAUUACUGGGCGUAAAGAGCUCGUAGGUGGUUUGUCGCGUUGUUCGUGAAAACUCACAGCUCAACUGUGGGCGUGCGGGCGAUACGGGCAUCACUGGAGUUCGGCAGGGGAGACUGGAAUUCCUGGUGUAGCGGUGAAAUGCGCAGAUAUCAGGAGGAACACCGGUGGCGAAGGCGGGGUCUCUGGGCCGAUACUGACGCUGGAGGAGCGAAAGCAUGGGGAGCGAACAGG
rnacentral:rRNA from 1 species